rnacentral:rRNA from 1 species
UACGAAGGGGGCUAGCGUUGUUCGGAUUUACUGGGCGUAAAGCGUACGUAGGCGGAUUGUUAAGUGAGAGGUGAAAUCCCAAGGCUCAACCUUGGAACUGCCUUUCAUACUGGCAAUCUCGAGUUCGGAAGAGGUGAGUGGAAUUCCUAGUGUAGCAGUGAAAUGCGUAGAUAUUAGGAAGAACACCGGUGGCGAAGGCGGCUCACUGGGCCGAUACUGACGCUGAGGUACGAAAGCGUGGGGAGCAAACAGG